rnacentral:rRNA from 1 species
ACGCUCGACACCUACGGGAGCAGCAGUGGGGAAUAUUGGGCAAUGGGCGCAAGCCUGACCCAGCAACGCCGCGUGAAGGAAGAAGGCCCUCGGGUUGUAAACUUCUUUUGACAGGGACGAAACAAAUGACGGUACCUGUCGAAUAAGCCACGGCUAACUACGUGUCAGCAGCCGCGGUAAUCUGAGCGGGCUGGCAAGGC